GUAGGGAAUAUUGGGCAAUGGAGGCAACUCUGACCCAGCCAUGCCGCGUGCAGGAAGACGGUCCUCUGGAUUGUAAACUGCUUUUGAAUGGGAAGAAACGCACUUUUGCGAAAGUGUUUGACGGUACUAUUAGAAUAAGCACCGGCUAACUCCGUGCCAGCAGCCGCGGUAAUACGGAGGGUGCAAGCGUUAUCCGGAUUUAUUGGGUUUAAAGGGUGCGUAGGCGGCUUGAUAAGUCUGGGGUUAAAGGCGGCAGCUUAACUGUACGCAUGCCCUAGAUACUGUUGAGCGUGAGUGACCUGGAGGUAGCUGGAAUUCCCUGUGUAGCGGUGAAAUGCAUAGAUACGGGGAGGAAUACCGAUUGCGAAGGCAUGUUACUACGGGUAAACUGACGCUGAUGCACGAAAGCGUGGGGAUCAAACAGGAUUAGAUACCCGGGUAGUCC
rnacentral:rRNA from 1 species